rnacentral:tRNA from 2 species
GGGAGGUUAGCUCAGCGGUAGAGCGUCUGCUUUACACGCAGAUGGUCGCGGGUUCGAACCCUGCACCUCCCACCA